rnacentral:rRNA from 1 species
GAUGAACGCUGGCGGCGUGCCUAAUACAUGCAAGUCGAGCGAACAGACGAGGAGCUUGCUCCUCUGACGUUAGCGGCGGACGGGUGAGUAACACGUGGAUAACCUACCUAUAAGACUGGGAUAACUUCGGGAAACCGGAGCUAAUACCGGAUAAUAUAUUGAACCGCAUGGUUCAAUAGUGAAAGACGGUUUUGCUGUCACUUAUAGAUGGAUCCGCGCCGCAUUAGCUAGUUGGUAAGGUAACGGCUUAUCAAGGCAACGAUGCGUAGCCGACCUGAGAGGGUGAUCGGCCACACUGGAACUGAGACACGGUCCAGACUCCUACGGGAGGCAGCAGUAGGGAAUCUUCCGCAAUGGGCGAAAGCCUGACGGAGCAACGCCGCGUGAGUGAUGAAGGUCUUCGGAUCGUAAAACUCUGUUAUUAGUGAAGAACAAAUGUGUAAGUAACUAUGCACGUCUUGACGGUACCUAAUCAGAAAGCCACGGCUAACUACGUG